CCUACGGGUGGCAGCAGUCGAGAAUCAUUCACAAUGGGGGAAACCCUGAUGGUGCGACGCCGCGUGGGGGAAUGAAGGUCUUCGGAUUGUAAACCCCUGUCAUGUGGGAGCAAAUUAAAAAGAUAGUACCACAAGAGGAAGAGACGGCUAACUCUGUGCCAGCAGCCGCGUUAAUACAGAGGUCUCAAUCGUUGUUCGGAAUCACUGGGGGUAAAGGGUGCGGAGGCGGUUUCGUAAGUCGUGUGUGAAAGGCGCGGGCUCAACCCGCGGACGGCACAUGAUACUGGGAGACUAGAGUAAGGGAGGGGGAACCGGAAUUCUCGGUGUAGCAGUGAAAUGCGUAGAUAUCGAGAGGAACACUCGUGGCGAAGGCGGGUUCCUGGACAUUAACUGACGCUGAGGCACGAAGGCCAGGGGAGCGAAAGGGAUUAGAUACCCCUGUAGUC
rnacentral:rRNA from 1 species